rnacentral:rRNA from 1 species
UACAGAGGGUGCAAGCGUUAAUCGGAGUUACUGGGCGUAAAGGGCGCGUAGGCGGUCAUGCAAGUGAGCUGUGAAAUCCCUCGGCUUAACCGAGGAACUGCGCCCAAAACUACCAUGCUCGAGGAAGAUAGAGGUGAGCGGAACUUACGGUGGAGCGGUGAAAUGCGUUGAUAUCGGAAGGAACACCCGUGGCGAAAGCGGCUCACUGGGUCGUAUCUGACGCUGAUGCACGAAAGCGAGGGGAGCAAACGGG